CUACGGGGGGCUGCAGUGGGGAAUCUUGCACAAUGGAGGAAACUCUGAUGCAGCGAUGCCGCGUGAGUGAAGAAGGCCCUUGGGUUGUAAAGCUCUUUUGUCGGGAAAGAUAAUGACUGUACCCGAAGAAUAAGGUCCGGCUAACUUCGUGCCAGCAGCCGCGGUAAUACGAAGGGACCUAGCGUAAUUCGGAAUUACUGGGCGUAAAGCGCGCGUAGGCGGUUAAGUAAGUUAAUUGUGAAAGCCCAAAGCUCAACUUUGGAAUUGCAAUUAAAACUACUUAGCUAGAGUUUAUCAGAGGAAAGCGGAAUACAUAGUGUAGAGGUGAAAUCCGUAGAUAUUAUGUAGAACACCAGUUGCGAAGGCGGCUUUCUGGGAUAACACUGACGCUGAGGUGCGAAAGUAUGGGUAGCGAAGAGGAUUAGAUACCCGUGUAGUC
rnacentral:rRNA from 1 species